rnacentral:snoRNA from 1 species
AAGUCAUGUGAUGAGAGAAAUAACUGCAACAAAAUGAUCGAAUAUUUCUUCUUGAUUACUAUAGUAUUUAACUCUCUGAUGAUU